UUGGGUUAUCCUGGAAAUAAAUGACGAUUCCAAAACGAUCCAGAAAGGCCCGUGCUUCCCCCUUCUCCUACCUUCUUCUUCGCGAGCGGCCGGCGGGGCGAUUCGGCCACCAGGGGAGAGGCGGAUUUGCCGAGCCAUGGAUUUCCCGCUUGAUCCGGUUAGCACUUAGCAGUAUGCCUAUCUAUGCGCCUUAUCCAACUGAGGCAAGAGUGCUGAAUCUGCAAGGGGAGGACUCGGUCAGCAGCAACGCUGGGCCGGUGACGGCGGGUGCGGCCGUGCUUGGGAACCUGGCGGACAGGAGUGGUGUGGGCGAUGGAGCUAGCUGCCUAGCUGCAUGGCUGGCCUGGAGGUACCAUGAUUCCGCGGAAUCAAACCGGCAGGACAAUCCACAAACGCCCGUGUGGUGACGCACCGGUAGGCGCAGGUGUCGAGCCACGACGUCCCAUCUCGAUCUGUGUCCUCUCCAGUCUCCUCCUACCAGCCCUUGGUCUGGCCUGGCGAACCUUUCUUCCAGCUCUUAGUUUUGUGCAUCUGGAACUCGCGAAUAUGAUGGCGAAGGUCAACAGUAGUCCCACUGAGUGUCUUGAUUGGCACUUGUGUGAGGAGCAAAGGAAAACUCUGGUCAAGUAUCAUCUUUUUUUUUUUCAUCUGGAGCCGUGUCAGUUUGGGUACUGAUUGGGUGGGAUACGUGAGUCACUUUGGCCAUGAGGAUCUUACUUGUGCUGGCCUUUUAUGUUAGUAAAUUGCAGGGAUGGCAAUUAUGAGUGGAGGUCUCUCCGUUGGCUCUUACUCCUGAUGUUGAAAUUUUGGUGUAGAAGACAAGACUGCUGCUGAAUGAAUGUUGCAAGUCAGUCUUUCCAUUCAUUGAUGUCUUGCUUAUAACUAGCGCCUGAUUCUGUUUUCCCAUAUUUGUUCUUAUUUAUCCUUGUUGCCCGAUCCUGCAAGAUCUUGUCAAUUGAGUGUAUAUUUAGAAUUUGUGGGUCGGUAGGACUCGUGGUGAUCCUUGAACUGUUUUGCUCAGUGCCUAAAUGACCAACUGACUAGGUUUUGUUUGACUGUUCUAACAUUAUUAUACUCAGAUGUUUUGCAGUAGGACUAAUCAGCAGUGGACAUGUGGCUGUGCAUCACUUCUUAGUUUCACGCCUAACCUUGUCAAGCAAUUCUACUCCUACACUGAAACCUGUCAAGAAUCUAGUACACUGAAACCUGUCAAGAAUUCAAAAGCAAGAAGGUUGUGGAGAAAAACAAGACUUUAGCACACGUUCUGUAGACACUAGAAGAGAUGAUCACCAGUUAAUUGGAGCUUGAAACGCCUAGCAGGAACAUAAGCUGCAGGGUAUCCUCCGCUUCGGCGAGUUCGCGGACGUGAUGCAGCUCGUGUCUCUGGCGAGACCAAUGGCGAGGAGGUGAACCAAGGGCGAGCUUGAGAUCACUGACUGCUUCUAUUGCGGGAGUGGUGGCAAACAAGGGUGAGGAGGUGAACCAGGACACGGGCCAGCAUCGAGGAGGAAGGAGUGGUAGUCCAGCUGCAGGAACUCACCCAGAUCCUUACGCACGAGGAAGAGGGUGAGGAUCCGAGGAGGAACUCGUCCAUGUACUUGGGCAGAAAGAAGAACUGAUCGUUGCACAUGAGGACAAACUCGUCGAGAUCUUACGCAUGAGGACGAACUCGUCGAGAUCCUUGCGCAUGAGUUGAGCGGAGGAGGCCGGGGGCGGUUCCUCUAGCUGCGUCGGCCCAGGGAACCCAAGAGUCAGAGGUCCCUCGCCCUCCGCUAGGGAACUGCAGACGGCCGAGGCGGCGCCGAGGGAUGGCGGACGCAGAUGGAAGGCCAGGUUUUUGAUUUUAGAUUUGAAGGACUCAGAUGGAGAAGAAUUAGAUUGAUGAGGGUUUUUUUUUUUGUAAAUAUACAUUCCUCUAACCUCCCUGACAAUUUCCGUCGGACGGAGGGAAUAGUUACUAUCCGGUAGCAAAUCUAAGUAAGGUGCCUGGGUUCAGUUGACGAAGAACCUUAUGUGUGUCUACUCCUGUGAAGACAAUAAGUAAUGAAAAUGCUAGCU